rnacentral:rRNA from 1 species
CCUACGUGCGGCAACAGUGGGGAAUAUUGGACAAUGGGCGAAAGCCUGAUCCAGCCAUGCCGCGUGUGUGAAGAAGGCCUUCGGGUUGUAAAGCACUUUCAGUGGGGAAGAAAGCCUUGGGGCUAAUACCCUCGAGGAAGGACAUCACCCACAGAAGAAGCACCGGCUAACUCCGUGCCAGCAGCCGCGGUAAUACGGAGGGUGCGAGCGUUAAUCGGAAUUACUGGGCGUAAAGCGCGCGUAGGCGGUCUGAUAAGCCGGUUGUGAAAGCCCCGGGCUCAACCUGGGAACGGCAUCCGGAACUGUCAGGCUAGAGUGCAGGAGAGGAAGGUAGAAUUCCCGGUGUAGCGGUGAAAUGCGUAGAGAUCGGGAGGAAUACCAGUGGCGAAGGCGGCCUUCUGGACUGACACUGACGCUGAGGUGCGAAAGCGUGGGUAGCAAACAGGAUUAGAUACCCUAGUAGUC